rnacentral:lncRNA from 1 species
GAGAAAGACAACAUUACUACCCUUCCAUAACAGACAUAUAUAUAUGCUCCAGUCAGUAACAUUGCUCCAAUGUCAUAAACACGUAAAAAUUUCAAUUAGAGUAAUCCGAAUGUCUGCAACCAUACUCCAAAACAGGAGCAUGUAUGCAUGCUUCACUUAGUAACAAUGAUUUUAAAGUCAUAUAGACCUAAUCUAUUUGUACUUGAAAAAUUGUAUGUCCCACUUAAGCAUUAGAAGUUGUUACUACAUCAUAUAGUACGGCAGUUGCAAAGUUGAUGCCGUCAUCAUAACUCAAGACCCCAAACAAGUAUCAUGGAAGUACAGUUCACCACAACCUUUAUAAUAUCCGAUGACAAAUUUAAUUUACAUACACGCCAACAUUGGAGCAAUGUAGUGAUACAUUAAGAGUCACCAAAAUACCUAGGUUUGCCUAUGUGCUGACUAACAUAUUCCCAACAACCCAACACAAGAUCUAUGCUAUUGCAAAAGCAAUUAGCAUAUGGUACUGUAGGUUGUGUAAGCUAACAGUGUCAUGGUUGCAUCAAAUAUCCUAAAGAAGCAUUAUCUAUUCUUCAAUAAACACUUCAAACUAUCUACUUCUAGAAUAUCCCAG